AAUCCAUAGGUUAAUGAGGCGAACCGGGGGAACUGAAACAUCUAAGUACCCCGAGGAAAAGAAAUCAACCGAGAUUCCCCCAGUAGCGGCGAGCGAACGGGGAGGAGCCCAGAGCCUGAAUCAGCAUGUGUGUUAGUGGAAGCGUCUGGAAAGGCGCGCGAUACAGGGUGACAGCCCCGUACACAAAAGCGCAUGUGCUGUGAGCUCGAUGAGUAGGGCGGGACACGUGGUAUCCUGUCUGAAUAUGGGGGGACCAUCCUCCAAGGCUAAAUACUCCUGACUGACCGAUAGUGAACCAGUACCGUGAGGGAAAGGCGAAAAGAACCCCGGCGAGGGGAGUGAAAAAGAACCUGAAACCGUGUACGUACAAGCAGUGGGAGCCCCACCACUAAGCCAGUGGUGAACUCCACAUCCGCAUCCUUUGCUGAGGAUACGGUUAACGGAGCGAAAGCGACGUUCAACCGCAAAACAAGCAGAGGGGGCUUAGUGGUGGGGUGACUGCGUACCUUUUGUAUAAUGGGUCAGCGACUUAUAUUCUGUAGCAAGGUUAACCGAAUAGGGGAGCCGGAGGGAAACCGAGUCUUAAUUGGGCGUUAAGUUGCAGGGUAUAGACCCGAAACCCGGUGAUCUAGCCAUGGGCAGGUUGAAGGUUGGGUAACACUAACUGGAGGACCGAACCGACUAAUGUUGAAAAAUUAGCGGAUGACCUGUGGCUGGGGGUGAAAGGCCAAUCAAACCGGGAGAUAGCUGGUUCUCCCCGAAAGCUAUUUAGGUAGCGCCUCGUGAAUUCAUCUCCGGGGGUAGAGCACUGUUUCGGCUAGGGGGCCAUCCCGGCUUACCAACCCGAUGCAAACUGCGAAUACCGGAGAAUGUUAUCACGGGAGACACACGGCGGGUGCUAACGUCCGUCGUGAAGAGGGAAACAACCCAGACCGCCAGCUAAGGUCCCAAAGUCAUGGUUAAGUGGGAAACGAUGUGGGAAGGCCCAGACAGCCAGGAUGUUGGCUUAGAAGCAGCCAUCAUUUAAAGAAAGCGUAAUAGCUCACUGGUCGAGUCGGCCUGCGCGGAAGAUGUAACGGGGCUAAACCAUGCACCGAAGCUGCGGCAGCGAACGUAUCACCCAAGACAACUUUACGGAGUUGACGAUUGACGGAGCGAAGCGACGUCAAAGCGUUCAUUAAAGUCGAGUUGGCUUAGGGAUACGUUCGUUGGGUAGGGGAGCGUUCUGUAAGCCUGUGAAGGUGUGUCGUGAGGCAUGCUGGAGGUAUCAGAAGUGCGAAUGCUGACAUAAGUAACGAUAAAGCGGGUGAAAAGCCCGCUCGCCGGAAGACCAAGGGUUCCUGUCCAACGUUAAUCGGGGCAGGGUGAGUCGACCCCUAAGGCGAGGCCGAAAGGCGUAGUCGAUGGGAAACGGGUUAAUAUUCCCGUACUUGGUGUUACUGCGAAGGGGGGACGGAGAAGGCUAUGUUGGCCGGGCGACGGUUGUCCCGGUUUAAGCGUGUAGGUGUGUGUUCCAGGUAAAUCCGGUUCACUUUAACACUGAGGCGUGACGACGAGGCACUACGGUGCUGAAGCAACAAAUGCCCUGCUUCCAGGAAAAGCCUCUAAGCAUCAGGUAACACGAAAUCGUACCCCAAACCGACACAGGUGGUCAGGUAGAGAAUACCAAGGCGCUUGAGAGAACUCGGGUGAAGGAACUAGGCAAAAUGGUGCCGUAACUUCGGGAGAAGGCACGCUGACACGUAGGUGAAGUGAUUUACUCAUGGAGCUGAAGUCAGUCGAAGAUACCAGCUGGCUGCAACUGUUUAUUAAAAACACAGCACUGUGCAAACACGAAAGUGGACGUAUACGGUGUGACGCCUGCCCGGUGCCGGAAGGUUAAUUGAUGGGGUCAGCGUAAGCGAAGCUCCUGAUCGAAGCCCCGGUAAACGGCGGCCGUAACUAUAACGGUCCUAAGGUAGCGAAAUUCCUUGUCGGGUAAGUUCCGACCUGCACGAAUGGCGUAAUGAUGGCCAGGCUGUCUCCACCCGAGACUCAGUGAAAUUGAACUCGCUGUGAAGAUGCAGUGUACCCGCGGCAAGACGGAAAGACCCCGUGAACCUUUACUAUAGCUUGACACUGAACAUUGAGCCUUGAUGUGUAGGAUAGGUGGGAGGCUUUGAAGUGUGGACGCCAGUCUGCAUGGAGCCGACCUUGAAAUACCACCCUUUAAUGUUUGAUGUUCUAACGUGGACCCGUAAUCCGGGUUGCGGACAGUGUCUGGUGGGUAGUUUGACUGGGGCGGUCUCCUCCUAAAGAGUAACGGAGGAGCACGAAGGUUGGCUAAUCCUGGUCGGACAUCAGGAGGUUAGUGCAAUGGCAUAAGCCAGCUUGACUGCGAGCGUGACGGCGCGAGCAGGUGCGAAAGCAGGUCAUAGUGAUCCGGUGGUUCUGAAUGGAAGGGCCAUCGCUCAACGGAUAAAAGGUACUCCGGGGAUAACAGGCUGAUACCGCCCAAGAGUUCAUAUCGACGGCGGUGUUUGGCACCUCGAUGUCGGCUCAUCACAUCCUGGGGCUGAAGUAGGUCCCAAGGGUAUGGCUGUUCGCCAUUUAAAGUGGUACGCGAGCUGGGUUUAGAACGUCGUGAGACAGUUCGGUCCCUAUCUGCCGUGGGCGCUGGAGAACUGAGGGGGGCUGCUCCUAGUACGAGAGGACCGGAGUGGACGCAUCACUGGUGUUCGGGUUGUCAUGCCAAUGGCACUGCCCGGUAGCUAAAUGCGGAAGAGAUAAGUGCUGAAAGCAUCUAAGCACGAAACUUGCCCCGA
rnacentral:rRNA from 1 species